UAAAAGGGUAUUUUUGAAUAUUUCCAAAGGUUUUUUUCUUUUUUAUUAUUUUGGUAGGUUCUGCAGUUUACGCAAUCUACAAUUUGAGGAGUGGAUGACAUUUGCUGAGUUUCAAUCUGAUCUUUGAAGUAUCAACACUUGCUCUUAGCAUGUUGGUAGAUUUCAAAUCCUUUUUAAUGAUUGCUAUAUUGUUUCUAUUACUAGACCAACUAAGCACAGCACCAAGGAAAU
rnacentral:lncRNA from 1 species